UAUCAAUAUUGGAAAUAAAGUUACUUCAGGUUCAACAGAAAGCAGUUCAACUACACUUCAGUUUUCUGCUUCACAUAGUGCCAAUACUAUUUACACCGAUGAAUUUGAUACCUCUUUGGUUUCUCUAAACAUAGCAGUUAUUUGGUUCCAUGUUCAUGAAUAUGUAAAGGCAUUAUCAGUUCUUGAACCUCUAUAUCAAAGUAUUGAACAGAUGGACUAGACAACAGCUCUUCAUAUC